UACGUAGGGUGCAAGCGUUGUCCGGAAUUAUUGGGCGUAAAGAGCUUGUAGGCGGUUUGUCGCGUCUGCUGUGAAAUUUCGGGGCUCAACCCCGAACUUGCAGUGGGUACGGGCAGACUAGAGUCUAGUAGGGGAUCACGGAAUACCUGGUGUAGCGGUGAAAUGCGCAGAUAUCAGGUGGAACACCGAUGGCGAAGGCAGUGAUCUGGGCCAGUACUGACGCUGAGGAGCGAAAGCGUGGGGAGCAAACAGG
rnacentral:rRNA from 1 species